AUGCAAGUCGAACGAGUUCUCGUUGAUGAUCGGUGCUUGCACCGAGAUUCAACAUGGAACGAGUGGCGGACGGGUGAGUAACACGUGGGUAACCUGCCCUUAAGUGGGGGAUAACAUUUGGAAACAGAUGCUAAUACCGCAUAGAUCCAAGAACCGCAUGGUUCUUGGCUGAAAGAUGGCGUAAGCUAUCGCUUUUGGAUGGACCCGCGGCGUAUUAGCUAGUUGGUGAGGUAACGGCUCACCAAGGCGAUGAUACGUAGCCGAACUGAGAGGUUGAUCGGCCACAUUGGGACUGAGACACGGCCCAAACUCCUACGGGAGGCAGCAGUAGGGAAUCUUCCACAAUGGACGCAAGUCUGAUGGAGCAACGCCGCGUGAGUGAAGAAGGCUUUCGGGUCGUAAAACUCUGUUGUUGGAGAAGAAUGGUCGGCAGAGUAACUGUUGUCGGCGUGACGGUAUCCAACCAGAAAGCCACGGCUAACUACGUGCCAGCAGCCGCGGUAAUACGUAGGUGGCAAGCGUUAUCCGGAUUUAUUGGGCGUAAAGCGAGCGCAGGCGGUUUUUUAAGUCUGAUGUGAAAGCCCUCGGCUUAACCGAGGAAGCGCAUCGGAAACUGGGAAACUUGAGUGCAGAAGAGGACAGUGGAACUCCAUGUGUAGCGGUGAAAUGCGUAGAUAUAUGGAAGAACACCAGUGGCGAAGGCGGCUGUCUGGUCUGUAACUGACGCUGAGGCUCGAAAGCAUGGGUAGCGAACAGGAUUAGAUACCCUGGUAGUCCAUGCCGUAAACGAUGAAUGCUAGGUGUUGGAGGGUUUCCGCCCUUCAGUGCCGCAGCUAACGCAUUAAGCAUUCCGCCUGGGGAGUACGACCGCAAGGUUGAAACUCAAAGGAAUUGACGGGGGCCCGCACAAGCGGUGGAGCAUGUGGUUUAAUUCGAAGCA
rnacentral:rRNA from 2 species